AAAAAAAAUUGUUUUAUUUUAACAAAAGAUUUUUAUUUUUAUAUUAUUUUAUAUGUAAGAAUUUUCUAGAAAAAAUAAAAGGUUUAAUAACUUUUAUUUAUAUUUUAUAUUCGCAGUAAUUAGUAUUAAUUAUUAAAGAGAUUUUGAAUUAGUAAUUUUAAUUAGUAUUGACAAAAUUUGUGCCAGCAGUCGCGGUUAAACAAAAAAUACAAAUAAAUAUUAUUAGUUUUAAGUUAAAUUAAAAUUUAAUUUUUAUAUAGUUGAUAAUAUUUUUUAUUAAGUGAAAUUUUAAAAAAUUAUUAUUUUAUUAAAAAAUUAAAAUAUUUAAGCUAACAAAAUUUAAUUUUAAACUAGGAUUAGAUACCCUAUUAUUUAAAUUAUAAUAAACUUUACUAGAUUAUUCUUAGAUAUAUUCUUUAAAUUUAAAAAAUUUGGCGGUAUUUUAGUCUAUUUAGAGGAACCUGCCUUGUAAUUGAUAAUCCACAUUGUACCUUUCUUAAUUUUAUUAAGUAUGUAUACCGCCGUCAAAGAAUAUCUUUAAAAAGAAAUAAUUUUCUUAAUUUUUAAUAAAAAGAAUGUCAGGUCAAGGUGCAGCUUAUAAUUAAGGUUUCGGUGUGUUACAAUAAAAUUAUUUAUAUGGCUGUUAAAUUGAAAUUAUUUAAUUAAAAGUGGAUUUAAUAGUAAAAUAAUAAAGAUAAAUUAUUUGAUUUUUAGCUCUAAAAUAUGUACAUAUCGCCCGUCGCUCUCAUUAUUAAAAUGAGAUAAGUCGUAACAUAGUAGGGGUACCGGAAGGUGUUCCUAGA
rnacentral:ncRNA from 1 species